UGAGGAAUAUUGGUCAAUGGGCGCUAGCCUGAACCAGCCAAGUAGCGUGAAGGAUGACUGCCCUAUGGGUUGUAAACUUCUUUUAUAUGGGAAAUAAAGUGCAGUAUGUAUACUGCUUUGCAUGUACCUUAUGAAUAAGGAUCGGCUAACUCCGUGCC
rnacentral:rRNA from 1 species